GGGAAGGUGGCUCAGGGGUAGAGCGCUUGCCUUGCAUGCAAGAUGCCCUGGGAGGCCCUAGGUUCGAUUCCUCACCCA
rnacentral:tRNA from 1 species